rnacentral:pre_miRNA from 1 species
UAGAAUAAAACAGAUAACCAAUCAUGUUGCAGUUGAAUCUGAUUGGUCACUUGCUUUAUUCACUC